rnacentral:rRNA from 1 species
UACGAAGGGGGCGAGCGUUGUUCGGAUUUACUGGGCGUAAAGGGCGCGCAGGCGGUCAUUUUUGUCGAGUGUGAAAGCCCCGGGCUUAACCUGGGAACUGCGCUCGAAACGGGAUGACUAGAGAUCGGGAGAGGAGAGUGGAAUUCCCAGUGUAGAGGUGAAAUUCGUAGAUAUUGGGAAGAACACCGGUGGCGAAGGCGGCUCUCUGGACCGAUACGUGACGCUGAGGCGCGAAAGCGUGGGGAGCAAACAGGG